UGGGGAAUUUUGGACAAUGGGGGAAACCCUGAUCCAGCCAUCCCGCGUGUGCGAUGAAGGCCUUCGGGUUGUAAAGCACUUUUGGCAGGAAAGAAACGUCAUGGGUUAAUACCCCGUGAAACUGACGGUACCUGCAGAAUAAGCACCGGCUAACUACGUGCCAGCAGCCGCGGUAAUACGUAGGGUGCAAGCGUUAAUCGGAAUUACUGGGCGUAAAGCGUGCGCAGGCGGUUCGGAAAGAAAGAUGUGAAAUCCCAGAGCUCAACUUUGGAACUGCAUUUUUGACUACCGGGCUAGAGUGUGUCAGAGGGAGGUGGAAUUCCGCGUGUAGCAGUGAAAUGCGUAGAUAUGCGGAGGAACACCGAUGGCGAAGGCAGCCUCCUGGGAUAACACUGACGCUCAUGCACGAAAGCGUGGGGAGCAAACAGG
rnacentral:rRNA from 1 species